rnacentral:rRNA from 1 species
AUUGAACGCUGGCGGAAUGCUUUACACAUGCAAGUCGAACGGCAGCACGGACUUCGGUCUGGUGGCGAGUGGCGAACGGGUGAGUAAUGUAUCGGAGCGUACCCAGGAGUGGGGGAUGACGUAGCGAAAGUUACGCUAAUACCGCAUAUUCUGUGAGCAGGAAAGCGGGGGAUCGCAAGACCUCGCGCUUUUGGAGCGGCCGAUGUCGGAUUAGCUAGUUGGUGAGGUAAAGGCUCACCAAGGCGACGAUCCUUAGCAGGUCUGAGAGGAUGAUCUGCCACACUGGGACUGAGACACGGCCCAGACUCCUACGGGAGGCAGCAGUGGGGAAUUUUGGACAAUGGGGGCAACCCUGAUCCAGCCAUGCCGCGUGAGUGAAGAAGGCCUUCGGGUUGUAAAGCUCUUUCGGCGGGGAAGAAAUGGCAACGGCUAAUAUCCGUUGUUGAUGGCGGUACCCGCAUAAGAAGCACCGGCUAACUACGUGCCAGCCGCCGCCGUAA